rnacentral:rRNA from 1 species
UACGGAGGGUGCGAGCGUUAAUCGGAAUUACUGGGCGUAAGGNGCNCGNAGGCGGUUUGUUAAGCUAGAUGUGAAAGCCNCNNGCUCAACCUGGGAUGNUCAUUUAGNACUGGCAGACUAGAGUNNUUGAGAGGGGAGUGGAAUUCCAGGUGUAGCGGUGAAAUGCGUAGAUAUCUGGAGGAACAUCAGUGGCGAAGGCGANUNCCUGGCAAAAGACUGACGCUCAUGUGCGAAAGUGUGGGUAGCGAACAGG